UACGUAGGGGGCAAGCGUUGUCCGGAAUCAUUGGGCGUAAAGAGCGUGUAGGCGGCUCGAUAAGUCCGCUCUGAAAGCCCGGGGCUCAACCCCGGGAGGCGGGCGGAUACUGUCGGGCUAGAGUCCGGAAGAGGCGAGUGGAAUUCCUGGUGUAGCGGUGAAAUGCGCAGAUAUCAGGAGGAACACCGGUGGCGAAGGCGGGUCUCUGGGCAGUAACUGACGCUGAGGAGCGAAAGCGUGGGGAGCGAACAGG
rnacentral:rRNA from 1 species